UGUUGAGUUCCCCUGACCGAAUUUGGAUAUACGCCCAAAGUUAUUCAGAAUACUACCGAGGAAGACCUGCGGGAUGUUUUGCUUACAAAAAAGAGUUCUUAAGGAGAACACAUUACAAUUUUACAUUUGAUAUCGUUACUGAUAUGAGAACAUAUUACGUAGAAUAUUAUGCCAGAUUGGGACUAGACUUUGAAGGAAAUGCUUAUAUGAAUAUACGUGGACGUAGAAGUGCCGGAGCGAUUACGAAGACACUUAAGUACUGGAACAACACGAAACGUUGUGGAAUUCUAGCACUGCGGCGCCAGGGCAGAAGUCAUUGCGAGCUUCUUGUAUGGAACAAUAAAAUACGACAAAUAUAUGAAGAACGUCGCAACUAUACAGACUGUCAAAAUGAAUACAGGAUGUAUUGUACAAAUGCAACCUUCUUGGUGCAGAUUCACCCCCGUUGCCCCAAUUUCGCCCCUGUAACUCAGCAUACAAGAUUAAUUUGAGACUGAUGUUUUAAUUUUUUUAUGAGAAUAAAGGUCAGAAACUUUUA